rnacentral:tRNA from 1 species
GGCAAGGUAGUACAGUGGAUAGAGUACCAGACCUGGAAUCAGGAAAACCUGGGUUCAAAUCCCAUCAUUGACA